UACGAAGGGGGCUAGCGUUGUCCGGAAUUACUGGGCGUAAAGCGUGCGCAGGCGGCUAUGCAAGACAGAUGUGAAAUCCCCGGGCUCAACCUGGGAACUGCAUUUGUGACUGCAUGGCUAGAGUACGGUAGAGGGGGAUGGAAUUCCGCGUGUAGCAGUGAAAUGCGUAGAUAUGCGGAGGAACACCGAUGGCGAAGGCAAUCCCCUGGACCUGUACUGACGCUCAUGCACGAAAGCGUGGGGAGCAAACAGG
rnacentral:rRNA from 1 species